rnacentral:rRNA from 1 species
UACGUAGGGCGCAAGCGUUGUCCGGAAUUAUUGGGCGUAAAGAGCUCGUAGGCGGUCUGUUACGUCCGCUGUGAAAACCCAGGGCUUAACCCUGGGCUUGCAGUGGAUACGGGUAGACUAGAGGCAGGUAGGGGAGAACGGAAUUCCCGGUGUAGCGGUGAAAUGCGCAGAUAUCGGGAGGAACACCGGUGGCGAAGGCGGUUCUCUGGGCCUGUACUGACGCUGAGGAGCGAAAGCGUGGGGAGCGAACAGG